AGAGUUUGAUUAUGGCUCAGGAUGAACGCUAGCGACAGGCUUAACACAUGCAAGUCGAGGGGCAGCAUAAAAGUAGCAAUACUUGGUGGCGACCGGCGCACGGGUGAGUAACGCGUAUGCAACCUACCUAUCAGAGGGGAAUAACCGGCGAAAGUCGGACUAAUACCGCAUAAAACAGGGGCACCGCAUGGUGAUAUUUGUUAAAGAAAUUCGCUGAUAGAUGGGCAUGCGUUCCAUUAGGUAGUUGGUGAGGUAACGGCUCACCAAGCCGACGAUGGAUAGGGGAACUGAGAGGUUGGUCCCCCACACUGGUACUGAGACACGGACCAGACUCCUACGGGAGGCAGCAGUGAGGAAUAUUGGUCAAUGGGCGGGAGCCUGAACCAGCCAAGUCGCCGUGAAGGAAGAAGGAUCUAUGGUUCGUAAACUUCUUUUGCAGGGGAAUAAAGUGCAGGACGUGUCCUGUUUUGUAUGUACCCUGAGAAUAAGGAUCGGCUAACUCCGUGCCAGCCGCCGC
rnacentral:rRNA from 1 species